GCCCCAGUGGCGGAACUGGCAGACGCGCUGGUCCUAGAAACCAGUCUCGAAAGGGUUGCAGGUUCGACUCCUGCCUGGGGCA
rnacentral:tRNA from 1 species